rnacentral:rRNA from 1 species
CACCGGCGCCCCGAGUGGCACUCGCGAUUAUUGGGCCUAAAGCGUCCGUAGCCGGAUUGGUAAAUCCUCUGUGAAAUCGUACUGCUCAACGGUACGGCGCGCAGGGGACACUGCUAGUCUAGGGACCGGGAGGGGUCAGAGGUAUGCCGUGGGGACCGGUAAAAUGGGAUAAUCCACGGUAGACCACCAAUGGCGAAGGCAUCUGACCAGAACGGAUCCGACGGUGAGGGACGAAAGCCAGGGGAGCGAACCGG